GAAUCUUGUGUUCACAGUGAGGGGUAGGCUGGGAGAAAAGAAACCAUCUGAAGUGGAGCACAUUGAAGAAAGGUUUAAAGUUGGUGUAAAGUUAUUGGAUGCCAAAGUCUGCACCACUAAACGAAGGCACUGCAGAGCAAAUGACAAAUAUCGACCUGAAAAACACCAAUCAAAAGACCAGUGGUAAAGAAUUGCUGCCCGUGUGAACAUGGCCAACUGUGAACAAAGACCACUAAAUCUGACCACAACUGGGAUUGUCCUCUUUGUGCGCGCUCAUGUCUCAGUACCCAGCGCACCAACCCUACUCAUUCCUCUGAAACACGACACAUCAGAGAUGUUCAGACCAGGCAUGGCCGUGUCUUGCCGUCAGCUGUGUGGCUAAUGAUUUGCAGGUGGGCCUCAAAUACAGCUAAUGACAGCUGCCCUUUUAGAGGAGUACAAAGUCCAGUGCCCUCAGGGAGACCUUGUCCAAAAAAUCACAGGCCCAAAGGUAGAAAAACAUAGGUGUUGUACUCCCUUUAUUUCAAGACACCAUGAAGAACUGUGCCGCGGUGGGAUCCUUAGGGAAUUUACUGACGCAAGCAUCAGCAAAUAAAGGAAAUAAAUACCAGCCAAGAGGCAAAACUAGCAGAUGUUUUCUGUACUUCCCAUUCAUUCUGUGUCAUUCUGGUAAGUGGUGAAGAAAAUAACACAUCGAUUAUGAAAAACAUAUGAUGGUAAAUGUAGGAACUCUUGAGACUGCUUUGACACAAGUAGCCCAAUUACGAUAUAUUUUCCCACUAACUGGUCUUUUAACCGCCAUUUUCAGAUAAUUAAAUGGAGCCUUAUUAACAGUGUUAUUACGGCUGAGUUUACAGAAGCAGCAAUUUUUUUUUCUUCAAAUCUUUUUUUAUUUAAAA
ensembl:lncRNA